UUCCUGGUGGCUCAGUUGGUAAAGUGUCUGCCUGGAACGUAGAAGACCCAGGCUCAAUCCCUGUGUCAGGAAA